CUUAGAGAAAGAACCCCGAGGGACUAUUUUCGUUACUCGUGGAAGAAUACAUGUAAAACUACUUUCCCAAGAGGCUCCGCGAAGGUUUGACUUUCCCAGAAGCGCUUGCUGGGAAGGGUAACCGGUCAGCUGUAGUGUCUCAGGGCACGCCGGGAGUUAUAGUCCGCGGGUUAAAUUAAGUCGACAUGAAAGACUGCCUCUUGGGAAUUGUAGUUUGAAUGCGCAGAUACAAAACGCUUCGCAGUUAAGUCUCAAAAGCAAGUUUGACUCCCCUUAAGAAGGGAAAGAACUCUCAAAAAAAAAAAAAAAGUAAGGGGGACCCAGAAGAGGAGAGAGGACAGGAAUCAAGAAAGACACCAAGUCUAGGAUGCAAAUGAAAACCCUGGGAAAGAGGACAGAGAAAAAAAAAAAAAACAGCCUUUGGUUUGAACCUCAAGGAAGCAAGAGAGCCAGGUGGCUGUGGCCCUGGGCUGGGACUCCAU